rnacentral:rRNA from 1 species
UGGCGACCGGCGCACGGGUGAGUAACGCGUAUCCAACCUGCCCUUUACUAUGGGACAGCCCGUCGAAAGGCGGAUUAAUACCGUAUGUUGUCAUGUUGAUGCAUAUUUUCAUGACCAAAGGCUUCGGCCGGUAAAGGAUGGGGAUGCGUCUGAUUAGCUUGCCGGCGGGGUAACGGCCCACCUAACCGACGAUGCGUAGGGGUUCUGAGAGGAAGGUCCCCCACACUGGUACUGAGACACGGUCCAAACUCCUACGGGAGGCAGCAG